GACUCUCGGCAACGGAUAUCUCGGCUCUCGCAUCGAUGAAGAACGUAGCAAAUGCGAUACCUGGUGUGAAUUGCAGAAUCCCGCGAACCAUCGAGUUUUUGAACGCAAGUUGCGCCCGAGGCCUUCUGGUUGAGGGCACGCCUGCCUGGGCGUCA
rnacentral:rRNA from 1 species